AGUUUUGCACAGUGGCAACAUCAUAGCCAAUGAAGUUUAUCCGAGGUGUGAUUACUUCUAAUUGAAAAGUAAUCAACACCUUUAAUCUCUUGGACAAUAAAUACAAGGGUGUUAAAAUAGUUAAGUUUGGGCUGGGGAUUUAGCUCA
rnacentral:snRNA from 1 species